UUGUGUUUAACAAGAGUUGAACCCUAUGUUGGGGAUGGUCUUUUUAAUCAAAGUCAUCCUAUUGAGCCGUCACUUCUAUCUUUUUUCUUUUGAGUGAAAAUUUCUUUCAAAUCCUCUUCCUCCUAAAUCGAAGCUCCCCCCUCCAAUUUCAACCUGAUUUUUCAUAGUCUUGGUCUCCAAUGGCACCUUGCAAACAAAUCGCC
rnacentral:lncRNA from 1 species